rnacentral:tRNA from 1 species
GCCCCAGUAGUGUAGUCCGGUCUAGCACGCAGCCCUGUCAAGGCUGCAACUCGGGUUCAAAACAAGACAAAGGUUUGCCUUUGUAUGUGAAUGUCCCGGCUGGGGCG